AUUUAACUUAGAUAUUGCUUUAAAUUACUAUUAACUAUUAAUUAACUAACUUAUUUAUUGCAUUAAAUUUUAUCGAUGAAUGCCUGUGAAUGAUAAUUCAUAACUUUUAUGAUUAUAAUUAUCUUAUUUUCAAAAUAUUUAGCGAUGGACCAAAGUGGAAAUCUAGGCGAAGAUUAUUGACGCCAUCAUUUCAUUUCGAAAUUUUAAAAGACUUCAUGCCUACUUUUGCUGAAAAAUCUGAUAUCCUGGUUAAAGUUCUUCGGAAAGAAACAGAAAAAGAAUUUGUUGAUAUUGUAAUGCCUGUAACACUGUGCAGUCUAGAUAUUAUUUGUGAAACAACAUUGGGUGUUAACAUUGGAGCACAA